GAUGAACGCUGGCGGCGUGCCUAAUACAUGCAAGUCGAGCGAACGAACGAGAAGCUUGCUUCUCUGAUGUUAGCGGCGGACGGGUGAGUAACACGUGGAUAACCUACCUAUAAGACUGGGAUAACUUCGGGAAACCGUAGCUAAUACCGGAUAAUCUUUUGAACCGCAUGGUUCAACAGUGAAAGACGGUCUUGCUGUCACUUAUAGAUGGAUCCGCGCUGCAUUAGCUAGUUGGUAAGGUAACGGCUUACCAAGGCAACGAUGCAUAGCCGACCUGAGAGGGUGAUCGGCCACACUGGAACUGAAACACGGUCCAGACUCCUACGGGAGGCAGCAGUAGGGAAUCUUCCGCAAUGGGCGAAAGCCUGACGGAGCAACGCCGCGUGAGUGAUGAAGGUCUUCGGAUCGUAAAACUCUGUUACUAGGGAAGAACAUAUGUGUAAGUAACUGUGCACAUCUUGACGGUACCUAAUCAGAAAGCCACGGCUAACUACGUG
rnacentral:rRNA from 1 species